rnacentral:rRNA from 1 species
GCAUGCAGUCGAGCGGCAGCACUUCGGGUGGCGAGCGGCGAACGGGUGAGUAAUAGUUAGUUAACCUACCUCUUAGACUGGGAUAGCCACCGUAAUGGUGAUUAAUACCGGAUAUGAACUUUUUUUUAAUAAGAAAGUUUGAAAGGCGCGUGUAAGCGUCACUAAGAGAUGGGGCUAACCCCUAUUAGCUUGUUGGUGAGGUAAGAGCUCACCAAGGCGACGAUAGGUAGCCGGCCUGAGAGGGUGAUCGGCCACAUUGGGACUGAGAUACGGCCCAGACUCCUACGGGAGGCAGCAGCUAAGAAUAUUCCGCAAUGGGCGCAAGCCUGACGGAGCAAUCUUGCCUGGAUGAUUGAAGGCUUUCGAGUUGUAAAAUCCUUUCAUUAGGGAAGAAUAAGCGAACUAAGAAACGAGUUCGUGAUGACGGUACCUAAAGAAGAAGCCCCGGCUAACUACGUGCCAGCAGCCGCGGUAAUACGUAGGGGGCGAACGUUGUUCGGAAUCACUGGGCGUAAAGGGUGCGUAGGCGGUCAAAUAAGUCAAGGGUGAAAUCUUGGGGCUCAACCCCAAAACUGCCUUUGAAACUGUUUGACUAGAGUCAUUGAUAGAGGUAGUAGGAAUUCCUGGUGUAGGAGUGAAAUCUGUAGAUAUCAGGAGGAACACCAAAGGCGAAGGCAAGCUACUGGGUAAUGACUGACGCUGANGCACGAAAGCCAGGGGAGCGAAUGGGAUUAGAUACCCUGGUA